rnacentral:rRNA from 1 species
UACGUAGGGUGCGAGCGUUGUCCGGAAUUAUUGGGCGUAAAGGGCUCGUAGGCGGUCUGUCGCGUCGGGAGUGAAAACUCAGGGCUUAACCCUGAGCCUGCUUCCGAUACGGGCAGACUAGAGGUAUGCAGGGGAGAACGGAAUUCCUGGUGUAGCGGUGAAAUGCGCAGAUAUCAGGAGGAACACCGGUGGCGAAGGCGGUUCUCUGGGCAUUACCUGACGCUGAGGAGCGAAAGCGUGGGGAGCGAACAGG